GCUGGCGGCAGGCUUAACACAUGCAAGUCGAACGCCCGUAGCAAUACGGGAGUGGCAGACGGGUGAGUAACGCGUGGGAACGUGCCCUUUGGUACGGAACAACUCCGGGAAACUGGAGCUAAUACCGUAUGUGCCCUUCGGGGGAAAGAUUUAUCGCCAAAGGAUCGGCCCGCGUCUGAUUAGCUAGUUGGUGAGGUAACGGCUCACCAAGGCGACGAUCAGUAGCUGGUCUGAGAGGAUGAUCAGCCACACUGGGACUGAGACACGGCCCAGACUCCUACGGGAGGCAGCAGUGGGGAAUAUUGGACAAUGGGCGAAAGCCUGAUCCAGCCAUGCCGCGUGAGUGAUGAAGGCCUUAGGGUUGUAAAGCUCUUUCGGCGGGGACGAUAAUGACGGUACCCGCAGAAGAAGCCCCGGCUAACUUCGUGCCAGCAGCCGCGGUAAUACGAAGGGGGCUAGCAUUGUUCGGAAUUACUGGGCGUAAAGCGUAUGCAGGCGGAUCGUUAAGUCGGGGGUGAAAUCCCGAGGCUCAACCUCGGAACUGCCUUCGAUACUGGCGAUCUUGAGUCCGGGAGAGGUGAGUGGAACUCCGAGUGUAGAGGUGAAAUUCGUAGAUAUUCGGAAGAACACCAGUGGCGAAG
rnacentral:rRNA from 1 species